CAAGUUGAGCUCGGUCGUUCAAUUUCUGGAUGUGCACUGGAGCCCUCGUGGAAUCACAGUAUGGUGGAAUAGGAAAGGAAAGAUGGCGGGGUGGGGAAAGGGGAGAGGCUGUCCAGUGACUUAGCAAACUCGAUAAUUGGGGGGGGGGGGCAAUAUGUUCACAGACCUUAGAAACAAUUGGUUUCAAAAGAAAUUAAUGAUGCAAAACACGGAUAUAUGAAUAUUGUCCCCCCCCCCCUCCAAUUACCGAGUUUGCUACGCCACUGGGGCUAUCCCAGGAAACCGUAAAGUUGGGCAAAUUAUAACGUAAGUUGAACGAAAAGGCGGGGGAAAAUAUUGAAAAGCAAGAAAUAUGUAAGAUAGUAGUCGAAAAUGCAAGAAAUAUGGAAGCUUCGAAAUUAUUUUUCUAAUCCCCCGCCCGUCGACAAACAUUUUGGGAAUUUUAUCCGGAAUUUUUUUAUAAGUGGGGCAAAAUGCAAAUAAGACUGGCAAAUUUCUUGCUGCCCCUCCCCCCCAUUUUUUCCCUUCUUUACAACUAUGUUAAUUUGUUGAUAUUGCUUUUUUGUCGGUAAAAUUUUAAUUUUCAACCACUUUCGUGAGCACGCUACUGAAAAAGCAAAAGGUUCAUAUUCGAAAGGGCGUAUGGAAGGGAAUGCCACCACGGUACGAAGAGAAACGUAGCUUGGCCCAGAGGCAAAGUGUAGGGAUAAGGAUUGAGGAACGUAAGGAAAUUUAGAGACUCUUUAGCUCGGUUGUCAAAUCAAACAUCUAAUCAGGUAUCUUUUACAGGAAACAAAAUUAUUCUACAAAUAUAUGAAUAACUACAUAGGUCACAAGAGAUACUGCUAUACUAUAACUGAGUUUCAUGAUAUCAGUUGACAUUUCUGUUGCUUCAGUCACCUUUCAAUUAAAAGAAAAUGACGUCAUUAGUCACACACGAUAACAUAGUAAAAGAGUAUGUAUACUGUGGCUCCAUACAGUUUUAAAAAAAAUGAAAAAUUCACGAUUUAAAUCCACAUUUUUGGACAAUUAUUACAUGUUGGAAAACAAAAAGUAUCUCACAGAUGUAAAACAACACCAAGUGCCGUUGCUAUUAGCAACGAUGACAUUUCAAGAUGGCGG
rnacentral:lncRNA from 1 species